CAGCUACCAAACCAACUACUUGGAUUGUACCCUUUCCAUACCUGAAUAGGCACAUGCGCUAGUUUAACCAUAUGGCUAGUAAGCUCAGCUAUUGCUUGCCCUUCGUCAUCUAUUUGAAGACAGCAAUUGCUCAGGUUAAACUUCCCACAUACACCUCCCUCUACUGCCAAAAGAUAAUCCAAGGCUAAUCUAUUUUGGUAAACUGCUGUCCUCAUCCUGGUAUUAUGCUUCGCUAG
rnacentral:lncRNA from 1 species